GGACUACAGGGGUAUCUAAUCCCGUUCGCUCCCCUGGCUUUCGCGCCUCAGCGUCUGAAAGGGUCCAGCACCUCGCCUUCGCCACCGGAGUUCCGGUCGAUAUCAACGCAUUUCACCGCUUCACCGACCGUUCCAGAUGCCCCUACCCUCCUCAAGAUGAGCAGUAUCCACGGCACUUCUCCAGUUAAGCUGGAGGCUUUCACCGCAGACUUGCACACCCGCCUACGCGCCCUUUAAGCCCAGUGAUUCCGAACAACGUUCGCACGGUUCGUCUUACCGCGGCUGCUGGCAC
rnacentral:rRNA from 1 species